CCUACGGGUGGCAGCAGUGGGGAAUAUUGCACAAUGGGGGAAACCCUGAUGCAGCGACGCCGCGUGAGUGAAGAAGUAAUUCGUUAUGUAAAGCUCUAUCAGCAGGGAAGAAAAUGACGGUACCUGAGUACGAAGCCCCUGCUAACUACGUGCCAGCAGCCGCGGUAAUACGUAGGGGGCAAGCGUUAUCCGGAUUUACUGGGUGUAAAGGGAGCGUAGACGGAAGUGCAAGUCUGGAGUGAAAGCCGGGGGCUCAACCCCCGGACGGCUCUGGAAACUGUACGGCUAGAGUGCAGGAGAGGAAAGGGGAAUUACUGGUGUAGCGGUGAAAUGCGGAGAUAUGUGGAGGAACACCAGUGGCGAAGGCGGCUUACUGGACUGUAACUGACGUUGAGGCGCGAAAGCGUGGGGAGCAAACAGGAUUAGAUACCCCUGUAGUC
rnacentral:rRNA from 1 species